CGGCGAGUGAAGCGGCAACAGCUCAAAUUUGAAAGCUGGCCCUUUCAGGGUCCGCAUUGUAAUUUGUAGAGGAUGAUUCGGCGAGGGCUCCCGCCUAAGUCCCCUGGAACGGGGCGUCAUAGAGGGUGAGAAUCCCGUAUGCGGUGGGCUGCCUUAGCCAUGUGAAUCUCCUUCGACGAGUCGAGUUGUUUGGGAAUGCAGCUCUAAAUGGGAGGUAAAUUUCUUCUAAAGCUAAAUACUGGCCAGAGACCGAUAGCGCACAAGUAGAGUGAUCGAAAGAUGAAAAGCACUUUGGAAAGAGAGUUAAAAAGUACGUGAAAUUGUUGAAAGGGAAGCGCUUGCAACCAGACUUGUCCGCAGUUGCUCAGCCGGUCUCCUGACCGGCGUACUCUUCUGCGGCCAGGCCAGCAUCAGUUCGGGCGGUCGGAUAAAGACCUCGGGAAUGUAGCUCCUCUCGGGGAGUGUUAUAGCCCGGGGUGGAAUGCGGCCAGCCUGGACUGAGGAUCUCGCUUCGGCAAGGAUGCUGGCGUAAUGGUUGUAAGCGGC
rnacentral:rRNA from 1 species